rnacentral:rRNA from 1 species
GAUGAACGCUAGCUACAGGCUUAACACAUGCAAGUCGAGGGGUAACGAGAGGAAAGCUUGCUUUCCUUGUCGACGACCGGCGCACGGGUGAGUAACGAGUAUCCAACCUGCCCCCAACUAGGGAAUAACCUUGCGAAAGUAAGACUAAUACCCUAUAAUUUCCUCAGAUGUCAUAUGACGAGGACUAAAGAUUUAUCGGUUGUGGAUGGGGAUGCGUCUGAUUAGCUUGUUGGCGGGGUAACGGCCCACCAAGGCAACGAUCAGUAGGGGUUCUGAGAGGAAGGUCCCCCACAUUGGAACUGAGACACGGUCCAAACUCCUACGGGAGGCAGCAGUGAGGAAUAUUGGUCAAUGGGCGGAAGCCUGAACCAGCCAAGUAGCGUGCAGGAUGACGGCCCUAUGGGUUGUAAACUGCUUUUAUACAGGAAUAAAGUUAGCCACGUGUGGUUAUUUGUAGGUACUGUAUGAAUAAGGACCGGCUAAUUCCGUGCCAGCCGCCGCCGUAA